GCUUGACUUCACGCACUCAUUCAUUCUCUCUGAGAGAUGCCCUAUCCACAAGACCCACGUACAAGCCUUACCGACUCAUGCUAAGAUGAAGCUUCUACUGGCACUUUGUGCAGUUUGGAACAUCAUCCAACUAUCAGAGGGCUGUUCUUCUGGAAGUACUGUACAAGAUUCCAUUGUACUGUCCAUUUUGUUCAUGUUCAGAUUUAUGUCCAGGAGUAAAAGCUCAUAACAUAGGUGACAUUGGUUGUGAUAAAAGGGUGUGUUUCUUCCCAGAAAUCACAGAAAUGACAGAUCGACUCGCCUGUGUAUCUGAUUAUUGGUUUACAAUUACCUGUACUUUGAACAUCACUGACGAGCCUACAGAUGUCAACAACACCCACUACUGGUUGAAUUUCAUCUGGCCUGAUGAAGCUGGGAACACAUUCAAAUGUCCACUGGUGGAGAUGGGGGACAGUUAUGGUUGCACAUUUGUGGCUGAUUUUGAUGAGAAUGUAAGGUAUAACGACGCUUCAUUUAAUAGCGUGGACUGUUUCAAUGUGCGUCUUUGUUAUAACAUUGACUGCCAAUCAAACUAUGAUAACUUGACAGACUUCGAACCAUCCAAAAAUAUUCAACCAACAGCUCCAAGUCAUCUCGCUGUCCAGUGGACUUUAGAGGGUUACAAAUGCACUUGGCAAAGUGGAUAUGAACACCAUCCUUAUUUAACAGAGUUCCAUUACCAACUCUGCUUCUACAAAUACCAUGGCGAUAAGGGCGAGGUGUUUUGUGUGUCCCCUCAAAACAAAUCUAUUUUAAUUGAUAGAUCUGGACUUAAGCCAGAUACCACAUAUGUUCUGAAAGUCAGAUCUGAGCUAUAUAAGUCCUCUGGAUAUAAAGGACAGUGGAGUCAGUGGAGUGCAUUGGUGCAAUUGAGGACUGAUGCAAAGGAAGGUGGGAGAUAUCUGCUUUGGAGACAAACUAGUUAAAGCAUAUAACACUCUUACCUAUCUCCUCUUUGUUAUUGUCCCAAAAUAUGCUAUGGAGAAACCAUUGAGGCUGCGUUUAGACAGACCAAUUAGUGGGAAAAUUAUUUGAAUUUGGCUGCUUCUCUAAACACAGCCAUUGAUGCAUAUACUAUGUUUCUCCUUCAGCAGAACCAACUAUAGUCCUUGUCCUCAGCAAGUUUGUAUUUCCUGGUUGUGUGAUUGCUGGAGUUCUGUUGUUUGGAUUUUACAACCCCACUAUAAGAAAGAUUUUAUCUUCAUUCUAUGAUGUGCCAAGCCCAGCCCCUUUAUUCCAACCUCUCUACAAAGAUUAUAACAAACAUUUCCAGGACUGGCUUGAGUCAGAGUGCAAUCUGAUACCAACAUACAAACCAGAAGAGUUCCUGACCAUCGAUACUUUGAUUAUUGAGGCCAAACCUAUAGCAGAGGACCAGGACUGCUCAGCUUCAACACCAUAUCCCCUAGCACAAGUUCACACUCCCUAUGUUGGUCCCUCAGUGAUGGACUGGGUCUGCAGUCACAGUCCAAAUGGAAAUGGUCCAGGGGACAUCCCUUACACCCAGCUGCCCUGCUCUCCCCUAGAGCUCCAGUUUGGAGCGAUGGUCACCUCUUUCUCUCGGGACCCUUCGGUCUCCUGCGAGGGGGACUCUGGAUGCGAGGACUUAACACUCAGCCCAGACAGCAGCUUACCUAAUAGUCCUGUAUCUAGUGAGCCAGAAUGCACCUGUACUGAUUACUGUAUCCUACAUGAAACCUCUAAAGGUUUUAUCCCCACUGUUGUGUCCAAAGAGGUCUCUACUCAUCCCUUGAAGAGUUAUUGCAUAGAGGGACCAGGUAAGGAGGAAACCUGUGCCACUGAGUGAAGUUACCAAACGUUACAUCAUAUGCCAAUAGGACAGACAGCCUACCUCUUGGGUUGUGAAAAUGUACUGAGCAAGGGGUGUUCUAGUCUUUAUAAUUGCCUAAAUGACAUAAUGUUGUCUUACGAUCAUUUGCAGUUUCUUACUUGUAAUUCUGAUGUAGAAUUGUGUAUACUAUACUGUAAUGAAGUGUGUUUUGUCUGUUUGAAAUAAUGUACAUUUUUUAAUUACUAUAUCAAUUGUGUGAUAGCUUAAAUAGCUAUUUUGGACCAGUUCAUUUCAUAAUUUGUAUGCACUGAUGGCACUAGAGCCAUUGAUCCUUCAGUAUGUGAGAUAACCACCAGAGGACGCUGCGACUCAACACUUGCUACUAUCUAUAGGAGAAAUUGGCGAGGUGCAUUUUCUUGGAUGAACAAUUUCAGCUAUAUGUAAUAUUUCGAAAGUAGUUUAAUAAUCCUGUAAUUACUAUGUCCUUUAAUUUGUAUUGUAUUACAUACUUGUUCGCUAUUGUAAAUAAAUUAAUACAUUGACGUA